rnacentral:rRNA from 1 species
UCUAGUGGCGCACGGGUGCGUAACGCGUGGGAAUCUGCCCUUGGGUUCGGAACAACACGGGGAAACCUGUGCUAAUACCGGAUAAGUCCUUACGGAGAAAGUUUUAAUGCCAAAAGAUGAGCCCGCAUUUGAUUAGCUAGUUGGUGAGGUAAAAGCUCACCAAGGCGAUAAUCAAUAGCUGAUUUGAGAGGAUGAUCAGCCACACUGGGACUGAGAUACGGCCCAGACUCC